GAUUUCCAUGGUUUUGAGUGAGACGAAAAUCUGUUAGAAAUGUAGUACCAAAUAGUGGGGAAAUAACAGAAAUAGGUACUCUUAAUGAUAAUUAUUAUUGGUAUUAUUAAUUACAUUUAAACGAAUUUAAUGAUAUUCUUCUCUUAUUUUUCAGAGAAUCAGAACCUUCAGAGACUUUCGGCUAAUCCAUUGAACUGGACUGUCGAUGAAGUAAUAAACUACAUUGUUAUUAUGGACCCAGAUUUGGGUCGGGAUAUGCAUUUAUUUAAAAAACACAGAAUUAAUGGCAAGAGUCUAUUUUAUCUUAAUACCGAUAUAAUGACAAAAAAUAUGGAAUUAAGAUGUGGCCCAGCCGUAAAAAUUAAUAACAAAGUAAUACAAUUGUAACUAAUUUCUCCGUCACAUUUUUUAUUUUUUAAAUCAAUCUGUUCAUAAAUAUAGAAUAAUUGAUCUAACCUCAGAUGCAAAUAUAAACAAUAUUGAAGGAACAAAAAAAGCAUCAUCCAAAGUAACAAAUAGAAUAGGUGCUUUUAAUGAUAAUUAUUAAUGGUAUUAUUAAUUAUAUUUAAACGGAUUUAAUAAUAUUAGUACUUUUUAUUUUACAGAGAAUCAGAACCGUUCGAAUCCAUUAAACUGGACAGUCAACGACGUGAUAAACUUUAUUAGUACGGAUAAUACGGACCCAGAGUUAAGUCAGGAGAUAUACCUAUUUAGAAACCACCGUAUUGAUGGAAAGGCUCUACUUUUAUUAAAUACUAAAAUAAUGACAAGAAAUAUGAAAUUAAAAUGUGGCCCAAGUUUAAAAAUAAAUUUUAUGAUGAAACGUUUAAAAAGAGAGAGCGGACUUUACAAUGAUUAUGAAGACUAGAACCAGGACAUCGAUUUCCAUGGUUUUGAGUGAGACGAAAAUCUGUUAGAAAUGUAGUACCAAAUAGUGGGGAAAUAACAGAAAUAGGUACUCUUAAUGAUAAUUAUUAUUGGUAUUAUUAAUUACAUUUAAACGAAUUUAAUGAUAUUCUUCUCUUAUUUUUCAGAGAAUCAGAACCUUCAGAGACUUUCGGCUAAUCCAUUGAACUGGACUGUCGAUGAAGUAAUAAACUACAUUGUUAUUAUGGACCCAGAUUUGGGUCGGGAUAUGCAUUUAUUUAAAAAACACAGAAUUAAUGGCAAGAGUCUAUUUUAUCUUAAUACCGAUAUAAUGACAAAAAAUAUGGAAUUAAGAUGUGGCCCAGCCGUAAAACUUAAUAACAAAGUAAUACAAUUGUAACUAAUUUCUCCGUCACAUUUUUUAUUUUUUAAAUCAAUCUGUUCAUAAAUAUAGAAUAAUUGAUCUAACCUCAGAUGCAGAUAUAAACAAUAUUGAAGGAACAAAAAAAGCAUCAUCCAAAGUAACAAAUAGAAUAGGUGCUUUUAAUGAUAAUUAUUAAUGGUAUUAUUAAUUAUAUUUAAACGGAUUUAAUAAUAUUAGUACUUUUUAUUUUACAGAGAAUCAGAACCGUUCGAAUCCAUUAAACUGGACAGUCAACGACGUGAUAAACUUUAUUAGUACGGAUAAUACGGACCCAGAGUUAAGUCAGGAGAUAUACCUAUUUAGAAAACACCGUAUUGAUGGAAAGGCUCUACUUCUAUUAAAUUUUAAAAUAAUGACAAAAACUAUGAAACUAAAAUAUGGCCCGAGCUUAAAAAUAAAUUUGAUGAUAAACAAUUUAAAAAGAGAAAGCGGACUUUAUGAUUAUGGAGACUAGAACCAAGAGAUUUCCAUGGUUUUGAGUGAGACGAAAAUCUGUUAGAAAUGUAGUACCAAAUAGUGGGGAAAUAACAGAAAUAGAGAAUCAGAACCUUCAGAGACUUUCGGCUAAUCCAUUGAACUGGACUGUCGAUAAAGUAAUAAACUACAUUGUUAUUAUGGACCCAGAUAUGGGUCGGGAUAUGCAUUUAUUUAAAAAACACAGAAUUAAUGGCAAGAGUCUAUUUUAUCUUAAUACCGAUAUAAUGACAAAAAAUAUGGAAUUAAGAUGUGGCCCAGCCGUAAAACUUAAUAACAAAGUAAUACAAUUGUAACUAAUUUCUCCGUCACAUUUUUUAUUUUUUAAAUCAAUCUGUUCAUAAAUAUAGAAUAAUUGAUCUAACCUCAGAUGCAGAUAUAAACAAUAUUGAAGGAACAAAAAAAGCAUCAUCCAAAGUAACAAAAAGAAUAGGUGCUUUUAAUGAUAAUUAUUAAUGGUAUUAUUAAUUAUAUUUAAACGGAUUUAAUAAUAUUAGUACUUUUUAUUUUACAGAGAAUCAGAACCGUUCGAAUCCAUUAAACUGGACAGUCAACGACGUGAUAAACUUUAUUAGUACGGAUAAUACGGACCCAGAGUUAAGUCAGGAGAUAUACCUAUUUAGAAAACACCGUAUUGAUGGAAAGGCUCUACUUCUAUUAAAUUUUAAAAUAAUGACAAAAACUAUGAAACUAAAAUAUGGCCCGAGCUUAAAAAUAAAUUUGAUGAUAAACAAUUUAAAAAGAGAAAGCGGACUUUAUGAUUAUGGAGACUAGAACCAAGAGAUUUCCAUGGUUUUGAGUGAGACGAAAAUCUGUUAGAAAUGUAGUACCAAAUAGUGGGGAAAUAACAGAAAUAGGUACUCUUAAUGAUAAUUAUUAUUGGUAUUAUUAAUUACAUUUAAACGAAUUUAAUGAUAUUCUUCUCUUAUUUUUCAGAGAAUCAGAACCUUCAGAGACUUUCGGCUAAUCCAUUGAACUGGACUGUCGAUGAAGUAAUAAACUACAUUGUUAUUAUGGACCCAGAUUUGGGUCGGGAUAUGCAUUUAUUUAAAAAACACAGAAUUAAUGGCAAGAGUCUAUUUUAUCUUAAUACCGAUAUAAUGACAAAAAAUAUGGAAUUAAGAUGUGGCCCAGCCGUAAAACUUAAUAACAAAGUAAUACAAUUGUAACUAAUUUCUCCGUCACAUUUUUUAUUUUUUAAAUCAAUCUGUUCAUAAAUAUAGAAUAAUUGAUCUAACCUCAGAUGCAGAUAUAAACAAUAUUAAAGGAACAAAAAAAGCAUCAUCCAAAGUAACAAAAAGAAUAGAGAAUUAGAACCGUUCGAAUCCAUUAAACUGGACAGUCAACGACGUGAUAAACUUUAUUAGUACGGAUAAUACGGACCCAGAGUUAAGUCAGGAGAUAUACCUAUUUAGAAAACACCGUAUUGAUGGAAAGGCUCUACUUCUAUUAAAUUUUAAAAUAAUGACAAAAACUAUGAAACUAAAAUAUGGCCCGAGCUUAAAAAUAAAUUUGAUGAUAAACAAUUUAAAAAGAGAAAGCGGACUUUAUGAUUAUGGAGACUAGAACCAAGAGAUUUCCAUGGUUUUGAGUGAGACGAAAAUCUGUUAGAAAUGUAGUACCAAAUAGUGGGGAGAUAACAGAAAUAGGUACUCUUAAUGAUAAUUAUUAUUGGUAUUAUUAAUUACAUUUAAACGAAUUUAAUGAUAUUCUUCUCUUAUUUUUCAGAGAAUCAGAACCUUCAGAGACUUUCGGCUAAUCCAUUGAACUGGACUGUCGAUAAAGUAAUAAACUACAUUGUUAUUAUGGACCCAGAUAUGGGUCGGGAUAUGCAUUUAUUUAAAAAACACAGAAUUAAUGGCAAGAGUCUAUUUUAUCUUAAUACCGAUAUAAUGACAAAAAAUAUGGAAUUAAGAUGUGGCCCAGCCGUAAAACUUAAUAACAAAGUAAUACAAUUGUAACUAAUUUCUCCGUCACAUUUUUUAUUUUUUAAAUCAAUCUGUUCAUAAAUAUAGAAUAAUUGAUCUAACCUCAGAUGCAGAUAUAAACAAUAUUGAAGGAACAAAAAAAGCAUCAUCCAAAGUAACAAAAAGAAUAGGUGCUUUUAAUGAUAAUUAUUAAUGGUAUUAUUAAUUAUAUUUAAACGGAUUUAAUAAUAUUAGUACUUUUUAUUUUACAGAGAAUCAGAACCGUUCGAAUCCAUUAAACUGGACAGUCAACGACGUGAUAAACUUUAUUAGUACGGAUAAUACGGACCCAGAGUUAAGUCAGGAGAUAUACCUAUUUAGAAAACACCGUAUUGAUGGAAAGGCUCUACUUCUAUUAAAUUUUAAAAUAAUGACAAAAACUAUGAAACUAAAAUAUGGCCCGAGCUUAAAAAUAAAUUUGAUGAUAAACAAUUUAAAAAGAGAAAGCGGACUUUAUGAUUAUGGAGACUAGAACCAAGAGAUUUCCAUGGUUUUGAGUGAGACGAAAAUCUGUUAGAAAUGUAGUACCAAAUAGUGGGGAAAUAACAGAAAUAGGUACUCUUAAUGAUAAUUAUUAUUGGUAUUAUUAAUUACAUUUAAACGAAUUUAAUGAUAUUCUUCUCUUAUUUUUCAGAGAAUCAGAACCUUCAGAGACUUUCGGCUAAUCCAUUGAACUGGACUGUCGAUGAAGUAAUAAACUACAUUGUUAUUAUGGACCCAGAUUUGGGUCGGGAUAUGCAUUUAUUUAAAAAACACAGAAUUAAUGGCAAGAGUCUAUUUUAUCUUAAUACCGAUAUAAUGACAAAAAAUAUGGAAUUAAGAUGUGGCCCAGCCGUAAAACUUAAUAACAAAGUAAUACAAUUGUAACUAAUUUCUCCGUCACAUUUUUUAUUUUUUAAAUCAAUCUGUUCAUAAAUAUAGAAUAAUUGAUCUAACCUCAGAUGCAGAUAUAAACAAUAUUGAAGGAACAAAAAAAGCAUCAUCCAAAGUAACAAAUAGAAUAGGUGCUUUUAAUGAUAAUUAUUAAUGGUAUUAUUAAUUAUAUUUAAACGGAUUUAAUAAUAUUAGUACUUUUUAUUUUACAGAGAAUCAGAACCGUUCGAAUCCAUUAAACUGGACAGUCAACGACGUGAUAAACUUUAUUAGUACGGAUAAUACGGACCCAGAGUUAAGUCAGGAGAUAUACCUAUUUAGAAAACACCGUAUUGAUGGAAAGGCUCUACUUCUAUUAAAUUCUAAAAUAAUGACAAGAAACUAUGAAACUAAAAUAUGGCCCAAGCUUAAAAAUAAAUUUGAUGAUGAAAC
rnacentral:lncRNA from 1 species